CAGCCUAAGAAUAACAAUGUGUGUGCCUGUGAAUUCAUACCCUUUGCAGGAUUUGGUGCUCAACAUCUGGAAGGUGAUGGGAUCAUUGACAGGGCAGGUGUAUCUGAUGCCCGUAUGAAUUGCUGCUGUCUCCAGGUCGAAACUCAAGAGACCUCAGCAUGUCGGCUGAGGAACUCAUGGCCAUCCUGCACAGAAACACACAGAACAGAAAGUGUUGGAGGUUGAAAUUUAAUGAAAAUGAGAAACUACUUUGAAAAAGCUGGGACACAUUUCUUCUGUGCCUUGAUGUCAGUGAAGCGGCAGACUCCAACCUUCACAAUCCCUCUGGAAACAACAAAAGCCAAGAGAAGAUGAUGUUUUUCAAAGUUGCUUUUACUUGAUGUUGAUCUGGAUCAUCAGCGGACAAACCAAGGAGUGAGAGCAUACGUGUGAGUGUGUGUAAGGUGCUGUACCUCAUGAUUUGAGCUUGUGGGUGAGUACUCCACACCUUCUCCUGGUUGUGAACCUCCUGUAUGAAAUGAGGCAGCGUCUGGAGGCCUUGUAGUGUGGAGUUCAUAUAACAAGUCUGUGCCAGGUUGGGGAACCUUAAACACAACAAGACAGAGGACGAAGGACAGAUUGGAGCUUGUUUUCCUCACUGUAUGUUACAGAUGAAGAUUCAUACUAAACUAAACCUGAAUAUUAAAACAACAUAUAAACACUCA